rnacentral:rRNA from 1 species
AUGUCUAAGUACAUGCCGUAUUAAGGCGAAACCGCGAAUGGCUCAUUAAAUCAGUCAUGGUUCCUUGGAUCGUACCUUACUACUUGGAUAACUGUGGCAAUUCUAGAGCUAAUACAUGCAGCAGAGCUCCGACCUUCGGGGACGAGCGCUUUUAUUAGACCAAAACCAAUCGGACCUCGCGUCCGUCUCUUGUGGUGACUCUGUAUAACUUUGGGCUGAUCGCACGGGCCUGUCCCGGCGACGUAUCUUUCAAGUGUCUGCCUUAUCAACUUUCGAUGGUAGGUUACGCGCCUACCAUGGUCGUAACGGGUAACGGGGAAUCAGGGUUCGAUUCCGGAGAGGGAGCCUGAGAAACGGCUACCACAUCCAAGGAAGGCAGCAGGCGCGCAAAUUACCCACUCCCAGAACGGGGAGGUAGUGACGAAAAAUAACAAUACGGGACUCUUUUGAGACCCCGUAAUUGGAAUGAGUACACUCUAAAUCCUUUAACGAGGAUCCAUUGGAGGGUAAGUCUGGUGCCAGCCGCCGCGGUAAUUCCAGCUCCAAUAGCGUAUAUUAAAGUUGUUGCGGUUAAAAAGCUCGUAGUUGGAUCUCAGUUCCAGACGGGUGGUCCGCCUACCGGUGGUUACUGCCUGUUCUGAACAGUCAGCCGGUUUCUCUUGAUGAUCUUCACCGGUUGUCUUGGGUGACCGGCAAGUUUACUUUGAAAAAAUUAGAGUGCUCAAAGCAGGCGUGACGCCUGAAUAAUGGUGCAUGGAAUAAUGGAAUAGGACCUCGGUUCUAUUUUGUUGGUUUUCGGAACACGAGGUAAUGAUUAAGAGGGACAGACGGGGGCAUUCGUACUGCGGCGCU